AGAGUUUGAUCAUGGCUCAGGACGAACGCUGGCGGCGUGCCUAACACAUGCAAGUCGAACGGAACCUAGAUGUUAGACUGUAGAUGUUAGAAAUUAGAACAAGGACAUGGUUGGAACUUUAAGAUUGAGCCUAAGGCUUGAGGGACCAUUGUCUUAGAUUUAAAAUCUAAAAUCUAAUGUCUAGAGUCUAACAUCUAGGCUUAGUGGCGGACGGGCGAGUAACGCGUGAGCAACCUGCCCUUAAGAGGGGGACAACGACUGGAAACGGUCGCUAAUACCGCAUGACAUAUCGGGAUGGCAUCAUCUUGAUAUCAAAGGAGAAAUCCGCUUAAGGAUGGGCUCGCGUCCGAUUAGCUAGUUGGUGGGGUAACGGCCCACCAAGGCGACGAUCGGUAGCCGAACUGAGAGGUUGAUCGGCCGCAUUGGGACUGAGACACGGCCCAGACUCCUACGGGAGGCAGCAGUGGGGGAUAUUGCACAAUGGAGGAAACUCUGAUGCAGCAACGCCGCGUGAGGGAAGAAGGUCUUCGGAUUGUAAACCUUAGUAGUCAGGGACGAAAAAAAUGACGGUACCUGAAGAGUAAGCUCCGGCUAACUACGUGCCAGCAGCCGCGGUAAUACGUAGGGAGCGAGCGUUGUCCGGAUUUACUGGGUGUAAAGGGUGCGUAGGCGGGACUGCAAGUCAGGCGUGAAAUACCGGGGCUUAACUCCGGGGCUGCGCUUGAAACUGCGGUUCUUGAGUGAAGUAGAGGCAGGCGGAAUUCCUAGUGUAGCGGUGAAAUGCGUAGAUAUUAGGAGGAACACCAGUGGCGAAGGCGGCCUGCUGGGCUUUAACUGACGCUGAGGCACGAAAGCAUGGGGAGCAAACAGGAUUAGAUACCCUGGUAGUCCAUGCCGUAAACGAUGAUUGCUAGGUGUGGGGG
rnacentral:rRNA from 1 species